UACUGGUUGAUCCUGAGUCUUGUCUCUUAAGCCAUGCAUGUCUAAGUAUAAGCAAUUACAGUGAAACUGCGAAUGGCUCAUUAAAUCAGUUAUCGUUUUUGAUAGUUCCUUAUUACUACAUGGUAUAACUGUGGUAUUCUAGAGCUAAACAUGCUUAACCCUUGAAGAGAUGUAUUUAUUAGAUAAAAAAUCAAUGUCUUCGGACUCUUGAUGAUUCAUAAUAACUUUUCGAAUCGGGCGAUGGUUUUCAAAUUUCUGCCUAUCAACUUUCGAUGUAGGAUAGUGGCAUGGUUUCAACGGGUAACGGGGAAUAAGGGUUCGAUUCCGAGGGAGCCUGAGAAACGGCUACCACAUCAAGGAAGGCAGCAGGCGCGCUCCUAAUUGGGAGGUAGUGCAGGGCCCAUUCGUCUUGUAAUUGGAAUGAGUACAAUGUAAAUAGAGGAACAAUUGGAGGGCAAGUCUGGUGCCAGCGCCCGCGGUAAUUCCAGCUCAAUAGCGUAUAUUAAAGUUGUUGCAGUUAAAAAGCUCGUAGUUGAACUUUGGGCCCGGUUGGCCGGUCCGAUUUUUUCGUGUACUGGAUUUCCAACGGGGCCUUUCCUUCUGGCUAACCUUGAGUCCUUGUGGCUCUUGAACCAGGUUUACUUUGAAAAAAUUA
rnacentral:rRNA from 1 species